CACCCGAGCGUUGGCGAUGAUGAACUUACGGCCUAGGGGGGCGGGGAGGAGAGUGCGCGUGAGCGGGGACCCCAGCCUCCGGGACUCCCAGCCCUUCCCCACAUUCUCCACUCACACAGCCGCCCGGGGACUCCCCGCCACAGGAAGCAUGGCUGGGACUGGGGUCCCAGCAGGGGGCGAACGCAGCUGUGCGUGUGCCCCGAUACAGGUGCCUGGCCGGCCGGGCCGCGCGGCGCGCCCCCUCCUCCGCCUGGCCCGCGGGCGGGCUGCGUGGCUUCCCCCGGGCAGGCCGCCAGCAGCCCGCCGCCUCCUCCAUGCCCGAGGCUGAGGCCAGCCUGGCGGGUGUCAGCAACGCGUGUCAGCAGCCGCGGCGGAGGGAUAAACACUGGGCCUAGAAAGGGAGCCUGGGAAAGGCCAGAGAUGGCGGCCAGGAUUCCCUUUGCAUCGGCUCUCUGGAUUCUGCUUUUAAUUUCCCUGCUCUCCAGACUGGGGGGCGCUCCCUGAGCCACUCCUUAUCCUGAGGCUCCCUAGGAAAUCACUCCCCGAUUAUCUGAGGAUCCUACCAGGCUGGGGAAAGAAGAGCAAGUUUCUUCGAAGGCAUGCCCCACCCCACCACACACCCUUCACUGAGAUCCUGGAAUACAGGGAUGGGACAGAAAGCCUGCCCCUCCUCCACAGACCUGGAACCUGAGACCCAAAGAGGGAAGAGUCACUCAAGGUCACAUGGCAGUCAGUGGCAAAGGAUCAUCUUGUUCCUCCGCUUCACACAAUACUGACCAUCGGACUGACCCCUCCUUCCCCCAACCACCGUUACAAGCACGCGUUGUCCUGUGCUCACAGGGUCAUGGACAAGGAAUGUCAUCCUCUCCCAACUCCCAGGGCCCUUGGCAGUCACACCCACUGUGGCUCAUGCAGCCUUAGGGACAGGCACAUGAAUGCUGCCCACCCCCAGGACAUUUGCCUAAUCUGGGACCCUUCUAGAAGCCUCCCUACCAGGCAGGCAUUAGGGGUGCUGUACUCCCGGUCCCCAUAAGGGAAUUAGGUGACAGUCUCCAGGGCAAGAAAACCCACAACUUGGGGGUACCACAGGGAGCUGCUUACCCUCAAAGCCCAGCUCUAGCCCCAGGACACCCUGUCUCCACAGAGCCCACAAGCUCGCAGCCUUGUCAAAGACACCUCCCCACCGCCCAUACAGGGUCUAACUCACGGGUGACACAUGGGCUCAGGGUUAUAUACACACGGCACACACAAGAAGAGAUUAUGAGCUGACCCUGCAUCCACGGCUUUUCAGUCCCUCCGGCACAACACAGUCAAGAUCUGGCAAGACCAGUGUGCGCGCUGGACUCUCGGGAUCCCAGGGUUUGGGUCGUACACACUCUUAUGCCCUUGCACACAGCCCCAUCCACGUCCACGCACCCAGAGUUGGGGACACCUGCACACUCCAUCCCACAUCCCUUCCCUGCACACUCAGCGUGUCACACACACUCCGAUCCCAAAAGCCUGAGCUGAGUUUCCCGCCCCAAGCCCCAACCCCAAACCCUUUGGCCCGGUGCCCACGGCCCCGGUGCACCAAGCCUUGCCCCCGCCGUCCCCUCGCCAAAGCCUGGGGCCCACCAGGCCCCAUUGACUCGCACUUGCCGACGCACACGGCCCGGGCACGCCCCCCCAUCCACACUCGGAAGAGCUCGGCCCGCCCCCAGAGCCCCCUCCCCGC
rnacentral:lncRNA from 10 species